rnacentral:rRNA from 1 species
UACGUAGGGUGCAAGCGUUGUCCGGAAUUAUUGGGCGUAAAGAGCUCGUAGGCGGUUUGUCGCGUCGGCUGUGAAAACCCGAGGCUCAACCUCGGGCCUGCAGUCGAUACGGGCAAACUAGAGUGCGGUAGGGGAGACUGGAAUUCCUGGUGUAGCGGUGAAAUGCGCAGAUAUCAGGAGGAACACCGGUGGCGAAGGCGGGUCUCUGGGCCGAAACUGACGCUGAGGAGCGAAAGCGUGGGGAGCGAACAGG